rnacentral:rRNA from 1 species
GACAGAGGGUGCAAACGUUGUUCGGAUUUACUGGGCGUAAAGCGCGUGUAGGCGGCUUUACAAGUCGGAUGUGAAAGCCCACGGCUCAACCGUGGAAGUGCCCCUGAUACUGAUCGCCUCGAGGGAGGUAGGGGCGUGCGGAACUUCCGGUGGAGCGGUGAAAUGCGUAGAUAUCGGGAGGAACACCUGUGGCGAAAGCGGCUCACUGGACCACAACUGACGCUGAUGCGCGAAAGCUAGGGGGAGCAAACAGG